UACGGAGGAUGCGAGCGUUAUCCGGAUUUAUUAGGUUUAAAGGGUGUGUAGGCGGAGAACUAAGUCAGCGGUGAAAUCCUAUAGCUUAACUAUAGAACUGCCAUUGAUACUGGUUUUCUUGAAUGUAAUUGAAGUGGGCGGAAUGUGUAAUGUAGCGGUGAAGUGCUUAGAUAUUACACAGAACACCGAUUGCGUAGGCAGCUCACUAAGCUACUAUUGACGCUGAGGCACGAAAGCGUGGGGAGCAAACAGG
rnacentral:rRNA from 1 species